rnacentral:rRNA from 1 species
CGAAGAUAAGACGGAUUAGCGGCGGACGGGUGAGUAACACGUGAGUAACCUGCCUUUUACACAGGGAUAGCCUCGGGAAACCGGGAUUAAAACCUGAUGAAACUAUCAAAUCACAUGAUUAAGAAAGUUAAAACUCCGGUGGUAAAAGAUGGACUCGCGUCCCAUUAGCUAGUUGGUGAAGGUAACGGCCCACCAAGGCAACGAUGGGUAGCCGGCCUGAGAGGGUGAACGGCCACAUUGGAACUGAGAAACGGUCCAAACUCCUACGGGAGGCAGCAGCG